UAGGGAAUCUUCGGCAAUGGGGGGAACCCUGACCGAGCAACGCCGCGUGAGUGAAGAAGGUUUUCGGAUCGUAAAGCUCUGUUGUUAAGGAAGAACGAGUGUGAGAAUGGAAAGUUCAUGCUGUGACGGUACUUAACCAGAAAGGGACGGCUAACUACGUGCCAGCAGCCGCGGUAAUACGUAGGUACCGAGCGUUGUCCGGAUUUAUUGGGCGUAAAGCGAGCGCAGGCGGUUAGAAAAGUCUGAAGUGAAAGGCAGUUGCUCAACCCUUGUACGCUUUGGAAACUGUUUAACUUGAGUGCAGAAGGGGAGGGUAAAAUUCCGUGUGUAGCGGUUAGAUGCGUAGAUGUAUGGAGGAACACCGGUGGCGGAAGCGGCUCUCUGAUCUGUCACUGACGCUGAGACUCGAAAGCGUGGGGAGCAAACGGG
rnacentral:rRNA from 1 species